UUCAUAUAGAGACUUGGGGGCUUUCUGAAACAAGAAAGAGAAAGAAAGAAAGAAAGAAAGAAAGAAAGAAAGAAAGAAAGAAAGAAAGAAAGAAGCCCACUUCAUAAGGCUCUCUCAACUACUAAGAAGUGUCUAUUCUGGACAUCUCCCACCCCACCAGUCAUCACCCAGGGGAAUGACAGUCAAGGUAAAGGAUGCAUGGCUGGAGAAUUCCCAUCACUGUCAUCUCUGCUGAGGAUCCUCCUCCUGACCAGUAAUUACUGGGAACGUAUGCAAAUGUUUCUUAAGCACAUGGAACUGUUUCGAGUGCUUCUGGAUCCUAGAAGGAGUUAAAAUGAUGACUCCAGCAGGUGACAGACAAUCACUUUUCCCAGUGAAGACAAAGCUGGUUUGUGAAGUAAUGGUUCCACAGUGAGUAGCUGCUUCCAGGAAAUAUAUACUGUAAGUAAUGAACACUUUGUCAGAGACAGGGAUUGGGGGCAUGUGCCUCUCCUGAAGAUCCUUGGACAGUCCUAUGAGUUGAUAAGAAGUAGUUUUAUAAAUGUAGAGAAU
rnacentral:lncRNA from 1 species